UGGCCGCGUCCACGCCGUCGCUCAGUGCCAUCGCCGUCUGCAGUCGCCACUGGUCUGCUCUCUCUUCGAACAGUCCCGAAACGACACCGCGCAGCCCAGAAACCAACCUGAACUACCCCGCAAAUUUCAUGAGAUGCACAAGAUUGGAAUAGGAAAAGGGGUGGAAGAAGUGUAUACCUUUGUUGCAAAGAGUUGCAGGAAAACAAUUUGGGGGACUCUCGGCUCUCUUACUCGAACUAUUUCUUCUCAACUGUGAUUUCAAGAAUUUAUGUUAUGGAAUCAAAAUAUGGAGGUUCCUAUUCUGUGAUUGAACAGAAAUUACCUUGGUUGGAAGGGGAAGAAAACUGCAGGAACGGUAGGUUGCUGAGAUUGUGGGAGGAAAAGUAUAAAUAGAUUUAACAAAGAGUAUUUGGUUGGAGAUUUUUAAGGAAAGAAGGAGAUAUGGAGACAACCGUAUAGUAAUGGGAUUGUGAGA